rnacentral:rRNA from 1 species
CUCGUUGUACCAACCAUUGUAGCUCGUGUCGUGAGAUGUUGGGUUAAGUCCCGCAACGAGCGCAACCCCUAUUGUUAGUUGCCAUCAUUCAGUUGGGCACUCUAGCGAGACUGCCGGUAAUAAACCGGAGGAAGGUGGGGAUGACGUCAAAUCAUCAUGCCCCUUAUGACCUGGGCUACACACGUGCUACAAUGGUUGGUACAACGAG